GAUUAACGCUAGCGGCAGGCAUAAUACAUGCAAGUUGAACGGCAGCACAGGUAGCAAUACUGGGUGGCGAGUGGCGCACGGGUGCGUAACACGUAUGCAACCUACCCUAUACAGGCGAAUAACCUUUAGAAAUGAGGGCUAAUACGCCGUAGUAUUACAGAUGGGCAUCUAUUUGUAAUUAAAGAUUUAUCGGUAUAGGAUGGGCAUGCGUCCCAUUAGUUAGUUGGUAAGGUAGCGGCUUACCAAGACGAUGAUGGGUAGGGGAUCUGAGAGGACUUACCCCCACACUGGUACUGAGACACGGACCAGACUCCUACGGGAGGCAGCAGUAAGGAAUAUUGGGCAAUGGCCGCGAGGCUGACCCAGCCAUGCCGCGUGCAGGAAGACGGCCUUAUGGGUUGUAAACUGCUUUUAUACGGGAAUAAUAGAGUGUACGCGUACAUUUAUGCAAGUAUCGUAUGAAUAAGCAUCGGCUAACUCCGUG
rnacentral:rRNA from 1 species